AUAAAAAUUGUGAUUUUGAAAAUUUAUUUAUAAUUUGUUUUACAUGUAAAUUUUAGUAUGAAUUUUUAAUUAUUUUAAUAAUAUAAAUUAAAUUGCAGUAAUUAAUAUUAAAAAUUUAAGAAAUUAAGAUUUAGAAAUAUUAAAAUUAUUAACAAAUUUUGUGCCAGCAGUUGCGGUUAUACAAAAAAUGAAAUAAAUUUUUUUAGUUUUAAUAAAAAAUAAAUAUUAAAUAAAAUAUUAAAUUAUUAAGUGAAAUUUUAAUUUAAUUAAAAUUUAAUGUUUUUUUUUGAUUUAAUAAAUUUUAUUAAUAGACUAGGAUUAGAUACCCUAUUAUUAAAAAUUUAAAAUAAAUACUAAAAUAUUAAAUAAUUAAUUAUUGAAACUUAAAUAAUUUGGCGGUAUUUUAGUUCAUUUAGAGGAAUCUGUUUAAUAAUUGAUAAUCCACGAAUAAAUUUACUUAAUUUAUUAUUUUGUAUAUCGUUGUUAAAAAAAUAUUUUUUAAUAAAAAUAAUAUUUAAAAAUUAAAAGUAAAAAUUAACUCAGAUCAAGAUGCAGAUUAUAAUUAAGAAUAUAAUGGAUUACAAUAAAUUUAUUUAUAUGGAUAGUAUUUCGUAAAAAAAUGUUUGAAGGUGGAUUUAAAUGUAAUUUUAUUUAUUUUAAUAAGAUGAUUAAAAAAUAAAAUAUGUACAUAUUGCCCGUCGCUUUCAUUUAAAAAUUGGAAUAAGUCGUAACAAAGUAGAGGUACUGGAAAGUGUUUCUAGAAAGAG
rnacentral:ncRNA from 1 species